rnacentral:lncRNA from 1 species
GUACUAGACUAAAAGGAUAUGAAGAUAAAUUACAUUGAAAGAUAUUUCUAUUACUUUCAAUUUCAAAGUUGUAAUUAAGUUAAUCAGGAUAUUGAGUUUAAGUGGUUAAUGAACUUCCCUUAUAACGGAUUGUUUGGGAGAACUUGAGUUAGAUUCCUAGUGGGAAUAAUUCAUGGUCACACUUUUCUUACCUCGCGGUCGAACUCUAGAUUAUUGAGACUCAUUCUCCUGAGAAUCAGAGGGUUAAUACCAACAAAUUAUUAGGAUAAUUAUCUGUUAUUAUCUUUUUUGAUCUUUGUUAUUAUUAUAUUUUUUCUAUGUUUAUCAAAUAUUGUUUACAUCGUUUCUUAAGUUUGUUAUUACUAAGAUAAUUAUCUUUUAAAAAUCAUGUCUCUAUAUAAUAUAAUUUUUUUUAUUAAAAAAUUUGAAUUUCAUAAGUUUGUUAUUUAAGAUAACUUUGUAUUAAAAUAUCAAAAUUUUUAUAAAAAUAUUUUACUAGAUUUUGAUUUAAAAGUGAUAAUCAAGUUAAAAAUAAUAAUAAAUACCAAACAAUUUUAACUUUGACUUUAAAUUUUUUAUUUUAUUCUCAAAGUAAUUUUUAAGCCUUAAAAAAAAGUCAAACGCAACCUAACUAUUUCAAAACCACUUAAACACUCUUAAGCCUUUGAGGAUAAACAACAACCAUUAGACAUAUCUAAACAAAUUUUUUUUAAUGUUGUAUAUUUUUCGCACGCAACUAUGGAUAUUAAGUUAUCGAGUCAUGUGGGAUUCAAAUAGAUGAAAAAUUCUUCCUAAACGUUUUAACGUUACUACAUGGUCGGUCAAAAAUUAAAUCUAAAAUAUUAGUUAAAUUAUAAGAGACAUGUGUCAUUUAGUUAAAUUAAUUGAACUUUAAUCUUCUCUAAUCCAGAUGCUUAGAUGAAUACAAUAUUAUACUAUUGGGCAAAAAUACAAAAAAUUAAUCUACUCAACCAUAUAUUUUCUUUUGUUUUUUUCCAAUUUAGUAGCUAAAAUGUUUUUUUUUUUAAGAUGAAUAACCGAGAAAGUGAGAAUCAUAUAGAAAACACACUACCAUCAAUGGCAAGCACACAAGAAAUAUUCUAUGAUUUAAUAAUAAUAGCUUAAAAGUUCUCUCUUUGUGCCGAUCCUAAUUUUUUUCUCUUUGAGUUUUUUUUCUCUACCGGUUAAGGGGUGGUUUUAUGUCAUUUUUGGCCUAAUAUCACCCUUCAACAUCUUUUUUUUCUUCUUUGCUUUUAAUCUAGAUAUAUAUAAGUGAUUUUCACAUAGAUUGAGUCUUUUAGUUAUUUUCUUUUGUAGUUAUGAUUUCGUCGUCCGAGUGCGGCGUUGUGCUUGUCAUCGUCUUGGUACGGCGUUGUUUGAUUUAUCGUCUUGUUGCGGUAUUCGUUUACUUCAUAUUGAAAUGUCAUCUUCAAUCAAUUUCAGAUGCAAUCAAUGAUUUAGGCAUCAACGCUGCAGAUCCGAAAGCAUGGACAUUCCUAUGACUUUUAUUUUAUUAUAUUAUUUGUAAGCAUUUUGCCGCCGUCUACUAUUAACUUAGAUGAUGUGUGUUUAUUCUCAUAUUUAUCAUUUUUGUUUUUCGCUAUGUUGAUUUUUUAUUUAUAUUCUAUCAAUUAUUUGAAUGAAUAUCGUCAUGUUUUAGUAAAAUAAAAAAGUGAGGAACCAUAUAUUUCCAUUAUUUAUUAAUAAAAUAACUGAUUAUAAUUAUUGCUUUUUUAGGUAACUAAUUAUAAUUAUGAAGUGACAAUGUGACAUUAUUUGUACAUCAUCUAUGAAUGAAUGAAAGGUAACGUUAUACUUCAUCCGUCAUUAUAAGCAAAAAAUUAUUUUUCAGGUUCAUUAGAAAAUUGAUGUAUUUAACUUAUAUUAUAAAUCAAAUACAUUAAUUUUUCAAUAACGUUAAAAGUAAUUUUUUUGCUUAUAAUAGCUAGUAAAAAAAUUAAAAAUUCGAUGAAAAAUAAAUCAGUGUAUGAGAAAAACAUCAUACAGUAAGAAAUAACAUAAAUAUACUUUUGUACUCACAUUCACAAAAACCACCAACACACACUUUCCGUCGAGGAUACNNNN